GCUCCGGUAGUGUAGUGGUAACACACUCGUCCGUAGAUACAAUCCACUUCAGCCUGCGCGAGUGUGCGAAAAAUCCUGAUGAGAGGAUGGAGGUUCAAAUCCUUCCCGGAGCC